rnacentral:lncRNA from 1 species
CUCGGACAGAUCGCGUGCAUCAUGCCACACCGAGUCGCACGCUAUGCACGGGGCACCGUCGGUGCGGUGCCAACAAUGGCGACCGAUGCGCCCGUCGCCAAAGAUACACGCGCUCUGGGCGACGGCCGGUUCCGCCUGGUGCACUUCCAAGAGCGAGUCCAUGCAUUCGCCCGCGGCGAUCUUUUCCGCGCCGGCGGCCAGCACAAAGUUGUGGGCGUCAAGGUCGUCGUCAUCGCCACGGAAGAGAUCGUCGUGCUUGCGCGCGUAGGCGGCCUGUGAGUCGGCCAGACGCGAGCCAAGAGUGUGCAGAUACCUGCAGACAAAGGCUAUGGCCUGACCCCGGUCGCCGUCGACUCCAACACUCGUGGCGAUCCAGUGGCGCGACGGCGGACCCGGCCAUUCGGUGACGCAUACGAGGCGCGCGAGGUCCUGUUGUGCAUGCGGCCCGAUCGAAAAGAGGGUCCCAGAGAGGAUGCGCCCAUGGCUCAGCACAUCUUCAUAGUCGUCGGCGAGGCCCCUCGCAAGGAUGGCCCGCUUGGUGGCCGCGAGACCCACCGUGCGCCAUGCCGCAGCGACACACAGGGCCACUUCGCACGCGAUGAUCAUGCCGUGCUGACGCUCGCCGCCGCCGCGGCGCGCACCCGAUGUCGGCACCGUCGUGGGCAUGAACGGACUGGUCGAGGCCAAGGACGACCCGGCAAGCGGCAUUGCUGCCGCGGCCUUGAUGAGAGUGCCCAUUGUGACGCCGCCCGAUGACGACGGCAACGUAUGCGAGCGUGGUCGUGGCGGCGGCGACAUUGGACUCAGCGGCCAUACUAUUGCGGCUGGCGGGAUGGCCUCGCCGUCAGCCGGCAGCGCGCGCUCCUCCCGAUGCCGGCACUUGUUAACCUCGGCAGCGAGAUCGCGUAUGCAGAAUGCAACAUCAGGGAGAUCAUGCGCGUCGCGCCACACCGCGUCACACACUGCACAGUGGUCGUGGUCGGUCGGGUGCGAGCAGUGGCGCGCGAUGCGCCCAUCGCCGAUGACGCGCGCGCUCGAUGCAAUCUCGCAAGUUGUCUGGCUUGGCGCCAGGAGGCAGGCCACACGCGCGUACGUUGCUAUGCGAAUGACGACGUCGCAUGCGUCGUCACCAGGCGCACGCUCCCCGACCUGUCGGACUAAAAAGCAGCAGUGGUCAAUGGCGCGUGCGUACUCGCGCAUGCGCAGUGCGCUGGCGCUGGCAUCGUAGUCAGCGGAUCCGAUCCUUACGGUGGCCCAGCGGCAUGAUGGCGGGCCGGGCCAUUCGACGACGCACACGAGGCGCUCAAGAUCGUUUUUUCGGUGUACACCGCCAAAGGAUGCGGCCGACAGAAUGCGUCCUUUCGUGAGCAUGUCUUUUGAAUCGACGCCCGGAAGAUUGACCGCGUGGGCCGCCGCGGCUGCGGCCGCGAGCGCCACGGUGUGCCACACGGGCAUAAGGCACAGCGGAAUCUCGCACGCGAUGCGCGUCCCUUGGACGCUAUGGGCGGGACUGCCGCCGACUUGCACGCCCGUUGUCGACACUCUUUUGGGCGUGCCGACAGAGGCGCAUAGUUCUGCAAUGCCCAGUUCGCCUCUAGGCGUCUCGCCCUCGCAUGGUGCCCCCAUUAUCGACCCCACAUGGUUCUCCAUUUCCACUUGCAGGCGACCUAUCCAAACCUCACUGCCAGAGCGGCUCUCACAAGAGACUUGUGCCGCCACUUUUGCAUGCGAGCCGACGUACGAUGGGCGGCCCUUUUUUCGCUUCCUGCUGUGCGUAAUUGAAUCC